GCUAGGAUUACAGGCAUAAGUCCCUGGUGCCCACCUUCAUCUGUAAUGUUGUCAGUACAUUUUGGCUUUCAUUAAGAGUUCUAGGCCUGUGACUGUGACCUACUUUAUCUAAUAAUGGGUCAUAAGACCUUCCUCAU